AUGGCCCCUACGUCCCGCCGGGCUACACCGUUGCUCCUGUCUAUGGAGCAUCUCCAGGGCACACCGCGCCGCCCGGUGCCACCGGCCCUGCCGCGCCCACCCAACCAUGGGACAUGGCCUCUCUGUAGGCUGCUCUACACAGCGCCACCGCGGGACCUUCAUCAUCUGGCAGCACCUCUAACUGGUAUCUGGACUCCAACGCGGCGUCGCACAUGUCCAACUCCUCUGGACCUCAGGACAAGGACGGUGAUUCUGCGAUGUAACUCCACCGGCGACCUGUACCCCGUGGCAUCUAGUCCGUCAUCUGCACUUCCGUUCACCGGCUCGGUCACCACCGAUUUGCUCCAUCAGCGUCUUGGGCACCCCGGUGUUGCUUCAGUUUAG
rnacentral:rRNA from 1 species